UACGUAGGGGGCGAGCGUUGUCCGGAGUUACUGGGCGUAAAGGGCACGCAGGCGGUUGUGUCAGUUUGCGGGGACAGUGGGCGGCUUAACUGCCCAAGGGUCGCAAAGACGGCACGACUGGAGAGCGAGAGAGGGACCUGGAAUUCCGGGUGGAGCGGUGAAAUGCGUAGAGAUGUGGAGGAACACCGAUGGCGAAGGCAGCCUCCUGGGCCAACACUGACGCUCAUGCACGAAAGCGUGGGGAGCAAACAGG
rnacentral:rRNA from 1 species